rnacentral:rRNA from 1 species
AACGAACGCUGGCGGCAUGCCUAACACAUGCAAGUCGAACGAGACCUUCGGGUCUAGUGGCGCACGGGAGCGUAACGCGUGGGAACCUGCCCUUAGGUUCGGAAUAACUCCCCGAAAGGGGUGCUAAUACCGGAUAAUGUCUUCGGACCAAAGAUUUAUCGCAUUUGGAUGGGCCCGCGUUGGAUUAGCUAGUUGGUAGGGUAAAAGCCUACCCAGGCGACGAUCCAUAGCUGGGCUGAGAGGAUGAUCAGCCACACUGGGACUGAGACACGGCCCAGACUCCUACGGGAGGCAGGAGUGGGGAAUAUUGGACGAUGGGCGAAAGCCUGAUCCAGCAAUGCCGGGAGAGUGAUGAAGGCCUUAGGGUUGUAAAGCUCUUUUACCCGGGAUGAUAAUGACAGUACCGGGAGAAUAAGCGCCGGCUAACUCCGUG